rnacentral:rRNA from 1 species
GUUGUGAGGUUAAGCGACUAAGCGUACACGGUGGAUGCCCUGGCAGUCAGAGGCGAUGAAGGGCGUGCUAAUCUGCGAUAAGCGCCGGUAAGGUGAUAUGAACCGU